AAUAAGCGGAGGAAAAGAAACCAACUGGGAUUGCCUCAGUAACGGCGAGUGAAGCGGCAAUAGCUCAAAUUUGAAAUCCGGCCCUUUGGGGGGCUUGAGUUGUAAUUUGUAGAGGAUGUUUCGGGCGCGGCGGCGGUUCAAGUCCCUUGGAACAGGGCGUCAGAGAGGGUGAGAAUCCCGUCCACGACCGCCGACCAACCCCGGGUGAAACUCCUUCGACGAGUCGAGUUGUUUGGGAAUGCAGCUCUAAAUGGGUGGUAAAUUUCAUCUAAAGCUAAAUACCGGCCAGAGACCGAUAGCGCACAAGUAGAGUGAUCGAAAGAUGAAAAGCACUUUGGAAAGAGAGUUAAAAAGUACGUGAAAUUGUUGAAAGGGAAGCGCUCGCAACCAGACCUGCCCGCGGGCGAUUAGCGGUGGUUCUCCGCCGUGCACUCGUCCGCGAUCAGGCCAGCAUCGAUUCGGGCGGUCGGAUAAAGAUCCUUGGAAUGUAGCUCCCCUCGGGAGUGUUAAAGCCUCGGAUGCAAUGCGGCCAGCCCGGAUCGAGGACCGCGCUUCGGCUAGGAUGCUGGCGUAAUGGUCGUGAGCGACC
rnacentral:rRNA from 1 species